rnacentral:rRNA from 1 species
UAGGGAAUCUUCCACAAUGGACGCAAGUCUGAUGGAGCAACGCCGCGUGAGUGAAGAAGGUUUUCGGACCGUAAAGCUCUGUUGUUGGUGAAGAAGGAUAGAGGUAGUAACUGGCCUUUAUUUGACGGUAAUCAACCAGAAAGUCACGGCUAGCUACGUGCCAGCAGCCGCGGUAAUACGUAGGUGGCAAGCGUUGUCCGGAUUUAUUGGGCGUAAAGCGAGCGCAGGCGGAAGAAUAAGUCUGAUGUGAAAGCCCUCGGCUUAACCGAGGAAUUGCAUCGGAAACUGUUUU